AACUAGUCAGCCGACGGGCUCUGAGGCUUUGAGGUUUGGAGGUAUCGUUUGAAGUAGCCGAGCCCGCCGCCGCCCGUCGGCGCCGUCAGGCUAGGUCGCCGCUCCCCUCCCUUACUAUCACUGCCCCCCCCCUACAGUGGUUGGCAACCACCGUACGCCACGCGCCGCCGCUCCGCGCUUCCGAUAUCAGUCAGUUCAGUUGUUCAGUUUGUGUUGGUGGUUUACUCUGACUUUAUAGGUUAUGUGUGACAGUUUAUGAGUGUAUUGUUUUCUGAAAUACUUUUAAUUGAAGAUAAGACAGAUACCGCUGUGAACUCCGUGUGAGUCGCGAAAGUGACAAUAAUAAACACGCCAAAUGGUCCCUAACUAGCGAAAACUAGGUUGAGACCUUCCCCUCACCCUCCAUUCGGAAAGUGACUAAGUUAUCGAUCAAACAGUAGAAAAUGC
rnacentral:misc_RNA from 1 species